GAUGAACGCUAGCGGGAGGCUUAACACAUGCAAGUCGAGGGGCAGCAUAGGGUAGCAAUACUCUGAUGGCGACCGGCAAACGGGUGAGUAACGCGUAUGUAACCUACCCUGUACAGGGGGAUAACCCGGAGAAAUUCGGACUAAUAUCCCAUAACAAUAUCCGGGGGCAUCUUUGGAUAUUUAAAGUUCCGGCGGUACAGGAUGGGCAUGCGCGACAUUAGCUAGUUGGUAAGGUAACGGCUUACCAAGGCGACGAUGUUUAGGGGACCUGAGAGGGUUGUCCCCCACACUGGUACUGAGACACGGACCAGACUCCUACGGGAGGCAGCAGUGAGGAAUAUUGGUCAAUGGGCGCAAGCCUGAACCAGCCAUCCCGCGUGAAGGAAGAAUGCGCUACGCGUUGUAAACUUCUUUUCCAGGGGGAGAAUAAUCCUGUCGUGACAGGACUUGACGGUACUCUGGGAAUAAGCAUCGGCUAACUCCGUG
rnacentral:rRNA from 1 species